rnacentral:rRNA from 1 species
AUUGAACGCUGGCGGCAUGCCUUACACAUGCAAGUCGAACAGCAGCACGGGAGCAACCCUGGUGGCGAGUGGCGAACGGGUGAGUAAAGUAUCGGAACGUGCCCAGUCGUGGGGGAUAACGUAGCGAAAGUUACGCUAAUACCGCGUACGAUCUAUGGAUGAAAGCGGGGGAUCGCAAGACCUCGCGCGAUUGGAGCGGCCGAUAUCAGAUUAGGUAGUUGGUGGGGUAAAGGCUCACCAAGCCGACGAUCUGUAGCUGGUCUGAGAGGACGACCGGCCACACUGGGACUGAGACACGGCCCAGACUCCUACGGGAGGCAGCAGUGGGGAAUUUUGGACAAUGGGCGAAAGCCUGAUCCAGCCAUGCCGCGUGCAGGAUGAAGGCCUUCGGGUUGUAAACUGCUUUUGUACGGAACGAAAAGGUUUGGCCUAAUAAGCUGAGCUCAUGACGGUACCGUAAGAAUAAGCACCGGCUAACUACGUGCCAGCCGCCGCAGUAA